rnacentral:rRNA from 1 species
UCCUUUGUUGCCAGCGGUCCGGCCGGGAACUCAAAGGAGACUGCCAGUGAUAAACUGGAGGAAGGUGGGGAUGACGUCAAGUCAUCAUGGCCCUUACGACCAGGGCUACACACGUGCUACAAUGGCAUAUACAAAGAGAAGCGACCUCGCGAGAGCAAGCGGACCUCAUAAAGUAUGUCGUAGUCCGGAUUGGAGUCUGCAACUCGACUCCAUGAAGUCGGAAUCGCUAGUAAUCGUAGAUCAGAAUGCUACGGUGAAUACGUUCCCGGGCCUUGUACACACCGCCCGUCACACCAUGGGAGUGGGUUGCAAAAGAAGUAGGUAGCUUAACCUUCGGGAGGGCGCUUACCACUUUGUGAUUCAUGACUGGGGUGAAGUCGUAACAAGGUAACCGUAGGGGAACCUGCGGUUGGAUCACCUCCUU